UUCUAAUCUCCUUUCUUUGAAACGAAACUACUUUAAUCUUUUUUAUCAGUGGUAACAUAUGUACGUAGUUAGAGCUUAAAAAUAACGACUUUAUGGCUUAUACAAAAUUUCGCAUGCAUACAAAUAUGAAAAAUGUGGGAUAGAAGUUUUCAGAAUUUAUGCAGCGAUAUGUACGCAUGCAUUUAUGUACAGGUCCAUCAAAAUACGCUGAUAUAUCGCACUCAAUUUUUUUGUUUAGUUACGAGAAUAGCCAACAUUGCUGAGAAAGCUUCCGGUAUUUAAAACAGUAGCAUUUGUGAUUUGGACACGGAAAGAUGUAUUAUCGUGGCUACGAGGUCGCGAUUUAAAACUAUAUUUUCGCAGCUGCAUAAUUAUUUAGGUUGUCUACCCAAUCUGUUCGUAAUACCACUUCACAAAAGGAGUUUAUUGCUCUUAAUAGUGUAUAGAAUUUCAAAAAUUAUACAGUGAUUGGAUGAAAAGUGGCUAAUACGUAUUUUUAGUUUUGAAAAUAUUGUUAAAAAUAUACACAAAUAAGUGACGUAACACUUUGCCUGUACAGGGAGCUUUCGGCAGUGGGCAAAUGGUCAUCGUAUAUGCACAUACAUAUGUACAUAUGUGAUUAUGUAUAAAUGAAUGCAAAUUUCUUAAGGAGAGAGGGGUUUGAGAUCGUCGCGAACUUUUCACUCGCGUUUCUGGGUCCACAUAAACAUAUGCUUGUUUAUUUUUACACUGGAUUGUUUAUAAACAAAUGGAAUUCACGUGCAUGACCGUAUCAGCAAACAACAAAUAAAUCCACUACGAAUUUAUGUCAACAAUCAAUUGAUAUAGUUAACAAAUCCUUGAACACUUGGCUAAUUCUCAGGCAUGUCUAAAAAAUGUAGCGUUCGCUCAUUGAGCGAUAGCGCUUUAGCCGAGUUAGCCAACCAGAUUGUCUCGACGAUCGGUUAUGCCAAGUAUGCACCUGACGUUGUACUCGACAUUAAUAUCGUGAUGGUGGACAUCAAUCAAUAUCUCGAGCAGACCGGCGCUACCUGGAACAUAUACCAAGACCUGCUGCGUGUCAUACUCAGCUCUGAUUACUUGGACGCUAAUAUGCGCUUCACUUGCAUGCAAAUGCUGCUCAACGGCAGCGUCGCAUUCUUGGUAACUGAAGUCUUUCCCUUUUCGUAUUAUGAAAAAAUCCUGCAAGUCAUUGCCGCACAAGGUACCGGUCUGCGUGUGCUCAAUUUGAAAGGAGUUUGGGUGAAGGAGGAGCAUAUGCACUACCUUUUUGAAAUCGUGCGCAAAUGUAAACACCUGACCAAGUUAUUUGUACCUUACAUCGCCAACGAUGAUCUUCUCGAGGUAAUUGGCAAGAACUGUCGGCAACUGCAAGUGUUGGACAUAUCCGGUGAGACAGACAUAACCGAAAUCGGUGUGGAGUUUCUCAGCCACGGGAUGUGCAAUGAAAAGUUAACGGUUGUGGAUAUUGGUAUGCCUGGCGAGGAGAACAUUUGCUACUCAGAUAUUGCCCUUAUAUUGGAACAUUGUCCCAAUGUGGAGACACUCUCCACAUAUUCAUUCGUAGGCGCCUCGCUGAAAUUCGUAUAUGACAACAUUGACGAGGAAUUUCAGUGCAAGCUACGCUACUUACACGAUACUGGCACCGACGAGGAGACGCUUAGUGUGAUUGUAAAAACUUGCCCACACUUGGAAUCACUCUAUUUGGACACACCCAAACCUGGUGCGCUUCCAGUACUCAGUAAUAGAUUUUUGCGAAAGUUGAAAAUCUACAAAUUUUCCUGCGCGGAAGUAAUGGAUGUGCUCGAUAAUAUCGGUCGGAAUCUUAGCCAUCUGACCAUGAUUAAGGGUGUUGGCCACUUGGAAAUAAGUAAAUUAGCGCGCAUUUGUCCGAUGUUGAUUGACUUAGACUGUUACAUGAUGGAUGGGCUCUCAUACACAAAGGACAUCAACCGUUUUGAAUGUUUGGAAGGCUUAGAAAUGCUCAGCAGCCCCAUGUCGAAUGCCUCAUUGAAGAUGCUUAUAUGCAGCUGUAGACAGCUGAAACGUCUGGCGGUGGAUAGUAUUAGCUUCACAGACGAGGAUAUUGUAAACAUAUUUGUGGAGCACGAAUUCAAUGAGCUCGAAGACAUUUGGUUUACAUUGGCCCCAAAUUUGACCGUUCAAUCAAUUGAGAUUCUUAUGGAUCGUUGUCCGGAAUUGCAAUCGGUUGGACAGCUGAGUGGAUGGUCUUUGACACCAGAUGACUUGGCACUGAUACGGGGUCUAUUGAAGAGUGGCAACUCCUGUCUUGUACUUACACCUAACGGUUUUUUCCCCUAAAACCACUAAUUUAUACUAAAUCUCAUCUUAAUGAUUUAAUGGGAAUCUGCAGUCGCGGAGAAUAAUUGAAUUAGGCGUAGCUUUAAAAGCAAUUUUUAAAAAGAUUGCAGUGAGGGCUACGAGAAAUUUACAUAUGGUUACAUAUUUGUGUUGGAUGUACAUCUUAGCAUGUGCGAAAACUUGAAAUUUUGGAAAAUGUGAUAGUAAGAUUUACAGUUAAUGACAAUGUAUGCAACAAGAAAGUGAUAAAUAUAGGCGUGGCCAAUACGAAAAAGAG